rnacentral:SRP_RNA from 1 species
GCCGGGCAUGGUGGCGCAUGCCUGUAAUCCCAGCUACUAGGGAGGCUGAGGCAGGAGAAUCGCUUGAACCCAGGAGGUGGAGGUUGUAGUGAGCUGAGAUCAUGCCAUUGCACUCCAGCCUGGGCAACAAGAGCGAAAUUCUGUCUCAA